CCUCGGUCGGCAGGCAUUACACAUGCAAGUCGAGCGGAGAGAGGUAGCUUGCUACCGAUCUUAGCGGCGGACGGGUGAGUAAUGCUUAGGAAUCUGCCUAUUAGUGGGGGACAACAUUUCGAAAGGAAUGCUAAUACCGCAUACGUCCUACGGGAGAAAGCAGGGGAUCUUCGGACCUUGCGCUAAUAGAUGAGCCUAAGUCGGAUUAGCUAGUUGGUGGGGUAAAGGCCUACCAAGGCGACGAUCUGUAGCGGGUCUGAGAGGAUGAUCCGCCACACUGGGACUGAGACACGGCCCAGACUCCUACGGGAGGCAGCAGUGGGGAAUAUUGGACAAUGGGCGCAAGCCUGAUCCAGCCAUGCCGCGUGUGUGAAGAAGGCCUUAUGGUUGUAAAGCACUUUAAGCGAGGAGGAGGCUACUUUAGUUAAUACCUAGAGAUAGUGGACGUUACUCGCAGAAUAAGCACCGGCUAACUCUGUGCCAGCAGCCGCGGUAAUACAGAGGGUGCAAGCGUUAAUCGGAUUUACUGGGCGUAAAGCGCGCGUAGGCGGCUAAUUAAGUCAAAUGUGAAAUCCCCGAGCUUAACUUGGGAAUUGCAUUCGAUACUGGUUAGCUAGAGUGUGGGAGAGGAUGGGUAGAAUUCCAGUGUAGCGGUGAAAUGCGUAGAGAUCUGGAGGAAUACCGAUGGCGAAAGGCAGCCAUCUGGGCCUAACACUGACGCUGAGGUGCGAAAGCAUGGGGAGCAAACAGGAUUAGAUACCCUGGUAGUCCAUGCCGUAAACGAUGUCUACUAGCCGUUGGGGCCUUUGAGGCUUUAGUGGCGCAGCUAACGCGAUAAGUAGACCGCCUGGGGGAGUACGGUCGGCAGACUAAACCGAAAAAUGUG
rnacentral:rRNA from 1 species